AGAUACCCCUGUAGUCCCAGCCGUAAACAUGCUCGCUAGGUGUCAGGCAUGGCGCGACCGUGUCUGGUGCCGCAGGGAAGCCGUGAAGCGAGCCACCUGGGAAGUACGGCCGCAAGGCUGAAACUUAAAGGAAUUGCGGGGGAGCACCACAACGGGUGGAGCCUGCGGUUUAAUUGGACUCAACGCCGGGAAGCUCACCGGAUAAGACAGCGGAAUGAUUGCCGGGCUGAAGACUCUGCAUGACUAGCUG
rnacentral:rRNA from 1 species